rnacentral:lncRNA from 1 species
AUGAUUUUUUUUAAUAAAAAGCUCGAUGUUUCCGCCAACGUAAGAAUUUACCUCGGAGUACUCGCAGUGCCGCGCCGUGCCUCACACCCUCCGCCACGGAGCCGGGGGCAGCCCGGCGGGCCCCCUCAGGAGCCCCGGGGGGGAAGGCAGCGGCGGUCGGCGGGGGGCGCGGGCAGGCCGUGCCGAGCCGUGCCGGGCCGGGAGGCGCUGAGGGCGGGGGCGGAGGUGUGUGGAGGAGGGGGAAGGCGGCGGAGGGGCGUCACGGCGGCCAUAAAAAGGCCGGGCGCGGCUGAGCGGCGCAGCCGUGUCGCUCGCAGCCACAGCGGCGGGAGAAGCGGUGGUGGGGACGGCAGCAGCGGGACAGCAGUGACGGGCAUGGGGACGGCGCUGGCGGCGCGGCUCGGCUUGGGGCUCCUGCUCCUGGCGCUCCUCCUACCCACGCAGAUCUACUGCAAUCCCAAUGGAACAAGUCCAACACCUUCAAACAACCCUUCAGCAGCUUCCACUUUGUCAGCUGUCAUAAAUUCAGUGAACAGUACCACCCCUCACGGACAUGGAAAUUGCCUUCACUCUGCCACAAGCCUCCUUUUCAUUCUCUCAGUUUCUCUUCUGUAUUUUUGCUGUUAAGAGACUCUGGCAGGGAAAUGGCUACCAUUCCCCACCCAGUUUCCUGAACCAUCUGAGAUGGCUAGAUCUUCGACCCAGCAUGAAAAUGAAUCAGUCCAAACUCUGCAUCAAACCGGCUUGGUUCCACUCCAUACUGUAAUUAGUACCAGUCUGACCUAGAGAAUCACCUGCUGUUCUCACUUUCCAGAGCUGACCCAAUAUGAAAAGGAUGUGACCAACUUCAGCACGGAGGUUAAAAAAAAAAAAACAAAACCUCUCUCACCAAAUGAGUUUGAAUUCGAAGUACAAGAUGGAAGCAAAAAGACAGUAUUGACAACUCCCGAUUUAAAGCUGAGAAGAAAUGCAGUGUCCUUGUAAUAGUGUUGGAUGGUAACACUUCAAGGCAGAAGGCUAGAGACUUUAUCUACCACUUAGAAUGACAACUUGAAGAGAUUUUUAUCUUCCUUUUAAGUUCAUUAAAGUCAGUAGCUCAUAGAAACGCUAGAAAACACAGAAAAGCUCAAAUGGUUCUGUUCCUUUCACAGCCUGUAUGGUUAUAAUCAAUGGGUAGUAAGAAGGUAUGCAAAAGACACAAAGUAACAGUGAGAAGGGUUUCUUCUAGAUUUAAUUUGUAUGAAAUUGCUAUGAGGCUAAAACAGAACACCAAAUUUUGUAAGAAUCCUUAUUUUUAUUUAAUUUCUGAGUUCUAACCAAGUGGCUAGUCAGGCAGGACUAGUUUUGAAAUAUUGAAAAUCAACAGUUUUCCUAAGAGUUGAAUUAUUUACCAUGGGGAUUUGGUUUUGACACUUUAUUUAAAUUGUUCAUAUAUUAAACCCUAUGUGCCAGAGUAAUGAGGUGUGGAAACAUUGGGAAAAGUACCAGGAGCUUUUUGUAAAUGAAGUUCAGACAAAAAAAAAAGUCAAGGGAUAACAAUCUCCUCUUUCCCCUAUUUCUCCUCCCAGUUCUACAAGUUGUGCAAGUCCUUUUUGCUCCUGGAACUUUCCUUAAUUAUGAAGGAUUUAUAGAACCUCUUAAGUAAUGUUUUAGUGCUGCUUUUUUUUUUGGCACAAAGUAAAUAACUUACUGUUUUGUUUUGAAGAGUUUUCAUUGUGAUGGUUUACUUUAAACAUGGGCUAAUAUUUGUGGUGGGGAGAAGGAAUGGGGAGAGGAGAGAAAAACGCCAAAAAAUAAGACAUUAAAUGAUUAGGUGUUUGGAAUCUGAAGACUGGAGUCUCAACUUAAUCAAUUUAAAAAUGACCUUUGUAAAUACUUUUUAAAAACUUUCUGAAUCAAAAUUGCUACACUUGCACAGAUUGUUUCUGCAUCAUUCAACCCUUUAGAUAAUAGCAUUUGGUAGUUGAUCAAAGUAAGCUUUGUUAAGGAAGUUCAACUACCUUAAUAACAGCUGGUAAGGAAAAAAGUUGAUAUAACAGGAGCAUAUAUGAUCAUAUCACUCUGUAUAUAGAUAUCUAUCUCAGUAUAAGAUCAUGUCAAACAAAAGUGGCUCCCAAUUUUUUUAAAAUCCACAUCUUCCAGUUACAUUACCACCAAUCCAGGUUAUCAGAUAUUAAUAGCAAACUAACACACAUUCCUGUCAGUGAGUAUACAUGGCAUUUCCUUAUGCUUAUCAUUUGUAUUGAGUAAAAUGUUAAUGAUUGUAUUUUUGUGUUUGUGUAAUUAUGCUUUGAUUUAUUAGCUACUGAUUUUCAUUUGGGGGGGGGAACUGUAAAUAAAACAGUGGACAGGCAAUGCA